AACGCACGAGACCUGCGGACCUGCGGAAGGAUCAUUAACAAAGUAUUCUGGACCGCGUCAGCGGGACAGGUGGGAGCGAAGGGCCUUGGCCCUGAGUCUGAGGACUGAGAGCCUUGCCUGAGGGUCUUGCCCUGAGUCUAAAGGACUGAGAGUCAAGCCCUUUGUCACUCAUCACAAGAGGGCGCCUGCGAGGGCGUUCGCCCAGCGGGUGGGGGUGGGGUGUGACGUUCUCGCUGAUAA
rnacentral:misc_RNA from 1 species